GACGAACGCUUGCGGCGUGCUUAACACAUGCAAGUCGAACGGAAAGGCCCUGCUUUUGUGGGGUGCUCGAGUGGCGAACGGGUGAGUAACACGUGAGUAACCUGCCCUUGACUUUGGGAUAACUUCAGGAAACUGGGGCUAAUACCGGAUAGGAGCUCCUGCUGCAUGGUGGGGGUUGGAAAGUUUCGGCGGUUGGGGAUGGACUCGCGGCUUAUCAGCUUGUUGGUGGGGUAGUGGCUUACCAAGGCUUUGACGGGUAGCCGGCCUGAGAGGGUGACCGGCCACAUUGGGACUGAGAUACGGCCCAGACUCCUACGGGAGGCAGCAGUGGGGAAUAUUGCACAAUGGGCGGAAGCCUGAUGCAGCAACGCCGCGUGCGGGAUGACGGCCUUCGGGUUGUAAACCGCUUUCGCCUGUGACGAAGCGUGAGUGACGGUAAUGGGUAAAGAAGCACCGGCUAACUACGUGCCAGCAGCCGCGGUGAUACGUAGGGUGCGAGCGUUGUCCGGAUUUAUUGGGCGUAAAGGGCUCGUAGGUGGUUGAUCGCGUCGGAAGUGUAAUCUUGGGGCUUAACCCCUGAGCGUGCUUUCGAUACGGGUUGACUUGAGGAAGGUAGGGGAGAAUGGAAUUCCUGGUGGAGCGGUGGAAUGCGCAGAUAUCAGGAGGAACACCAGUGGCGAAGGCGGUUCUCUGGGCCUUUCCUGACGCUGAGGAGCGAAAGCGUGGGGAGCGAACAGGCUUAGAUACCCUGGUAGUCCACGCUGUAAACGGUGGGUACUAGGUGUGGGGUCCAUUCCACGGGUUCCGUGCCGUAGCUAACGCUUUAAGUACCCCGCCUGGGGAGUACGGCCGCAAGGCUAAAGCUCAAAGGAAUUGACGGGGCCCCGCACAAGCGGCGGAGCAUGCGGAUUAAUUCGAUGCAACGCGUAGAACCUUACCUGGGUUUGACAUGGAUCGGGAGUGCUCAGAGAUGGGUGUGCCUCUUUUGGGGUCGGUUCACAGGUGGUGCAUGCCUGUCGUCAGCUCGUGUCGUGAGAUGUUGGGUUAAGUCCCGCAACGAGCGCAACCCUUGUUCACUGUUGCCAGCACGUUAUGGUGGGGACUCAGUGGAGACCGCCGGGGUCAACUCGGAGGAAGGUGGGGAUGACGUCAAGUCAUCAUGCCCCUUACGUCCAGGGCUUCACGCAUGCUACAAUGGCUGGUACAGAGAGUGGCGAGCCUGUGAGGGUGAGCGAAUCUCGGAAAGCCGGUCUCAGUUCGGAUUGGGGUCUGCAACUCGACCUCAUGAAGUCGGAGUCGCUAGUAAUCGCAGAUCAGCAACGCUGCGGUGAAUACGUUCCCGGG
rnacentral:rRNA from 1 species